rnacentral:rRNA from 1 species
UACGUAGGAUGCAAGCGUUGUCCGGAAUUACUGGGCGUAAAGGGCGAGCAGGUGGCACUACAAGUCUGAUGUAAAAUCUCCCGGCUUAACUGGGAGGGGCCAUUGGAAACUGUAGAGCUGGAGUGCAGGAGAGGCUAACGGAAUUCCCGGUGUAGUGGUGAAAUGCGUAGAUAUCGGGAGGAACACCAGUGGCGAAGGCGGCUUCCUGGCCUGUUCUUGACGCUGAGGCGCGAAAGCUAGGGGAGCAAACGGG